UACGAAGGGGGCUAGCGUUGCUCGGAAUCACUGGGCGUAAAGGGUGCGUAGGCGGGUUUUUAAGUCAGGGGUGAAAUCCUGGAGCUCAACUCCAGAACUGCCUUUGAUACUGAAGAUCUUGAGUCCGGGAGAGGUGAGUGGAACUGCGAGUGUAGAGGUGAAAUUCGUAGAUAUUCGCAAGAACACCAGUGGCGAAGUCGGCUCACUGGCCCGGUACUGACGCUGAGGCACGAAAGCGUGGGGAGCAAACAGG
rnacentral:rRNA from 1 species